CCCAGCUCGUCAUGCUAGAGCACUUUUUCAAUGUGUUUCCCAACGAGAAGGCGAAGACGCAUUCGUAUGUCAAUCCAUAUCAACUUUAAUGCCAUUGACUGAGCCUACCAUGGUGACCACCGGUAACGGGGAAUCAGGGUUCCAUUCCGUACAGGGACCCUGAGAAACGGCUACCACAUGCAAGGAAGGCAGCAGGCGCGCAAAUGACCCACUACCGACGCGGGAAGGUAGUGACG
rnacentral:rRNA from 1 species